GAUGAACGCUAGCGGCAGGCUUAAUACAUGCAAGUCGAGGGGCAGCAGGGGUAGCAAUACUCGCUGGCGACCGGCAAACGGGUGCGGAACACGUACAGAACCUUCCUUUAAGUGGGGAAUAGCCCAGAGAAAUUUGGAUUAAUACCCCGUAACAUUAUGAAGUGGCAUCACCUUAUAAUUAAAGAUUUAUCGCUUAGAGAUGGCUGUGCGGCUGAUUAGGUAGUUGGCGGGGAAACGGCCCACCAAGCCUGCGAUCAGUAACUGGUGUGAGAGCACGACCAGUCACACGGGCACUGAGA
rnacentral:rRNA from 1 species